rnacentral:rRNA from 1 species
UACGUAGGGGGCAAGCGUUGUCCGGAUUUAUUGGGCGUAAAGAGCGUGUAGGCGGCCAGGUAGGUGGGUUGUGAAAACUGGAGGCUCAACCUUCAGACGUCGACCCAAACCCCCUGGCUAGAGUCCGGAAGAGGAGAGUGGAAUUCCUGGUGUAGCGGUGAAAAUGCGCAGAUAUCAGGAAGAACACCCGUGGCGAAAGCGGCUCACUGGACCACUACUGACGCUGGAUGCGCGAAAGCUAGGGGAGCAAACAGG